CCUACGGGAGGCAGCAGUGGGGAAUAUUGCACAAUGGGGGAAACCCUGAUGCAGCAACGCCGCGUGAAGGAAGACGGUUUUCGGAUUGUAAACUUCUGUUCUUAGUGAAGAAUAAUGACGGUAGCUAAGUAGCAAGCCACGGCUAACUACGUGCCAGCAGCCGCGGUACUACGUAGGUGGCAAGCGUUGUCCGGAAUUACUGGGUGUAAAGGGAGCGCAGGCGGGAAUGCAAGUCAGCUGUGAAAACUACGGGCUUAACUUGUAGACUGCAGUUGAAACUGGUUUUCUUGAGUGAAGUAGAGGUGGGCGGAAUUCCGAGUGUAGCGGUGAAAUGCGUAGAUAUUCGGAGGAACACCGGUGGCGAAGGCGGCCAACUGGGCUUUAACUGACGCUGAGGCUCGAAAGUGUGGGGAGCAAACAGGAUUAGAUACCCGAGUAGUC
rnacentral:rRNA from 1 species